CUACUAGGUUGAUAAUGUCUGCCGGGCGUGGAGUGUUUUCAGCCUUUCCAAGAGGACGAGGAGACGGUACCGGAGCGCCAGCCAGCCAACCAGCAGCCAUCACUCACGACAAAUUGGGGGUAUGGACGAAGCAGUAGCUGUGUCCUGUGAUAAGGCGUAGCAGGUUUUCUUGGUGAACAGUGUUAGCGGUGACUCCCUCUCCGUCACUGUCAGUGUGGCAGACCCGAGCGUCACCAGUGAUGGCUUCUUCUUAUCAGGCGAGCACAAAGGAACACAGAGGAAGAACAAACACAAGCAGCAGCAGACCGGAAGUAUGUGUCACCAGUGGGCGUGGACCCGUGCUGGCGUGUGGGUGCAAAGAACAUUAGACAACCCUUUAGAUGCCUCUGUCCUUGCCGCUCUUGCCUGUGUCUUCUUAACGAGCCGUGGAAGAAGUGACGGAGAGCAGAAGUAACGAGAGGAAUUCUGGGAGCGUGGUGAAGGGAGGGGAUCACUGAAGGAGUCCACCCAGACGCCAGAGAGCAGCCAGAAGCCAAGGAGGACGUGUGCAUGUGUGUCUGCGUCAAUCAGGUAAGGGAAACAAAUAUACCAGUAUCAAGAUAGUGGGAAAUGAAGGCUAGAAGUAGUCCCAGCAGCAUAAUGUGUACUCGCCCACCGUCGCCUUCAUCGUUCUUCAUCGUUCUUUACGAGCAUGAUGUGUGUA